rnacentral:rRNA from 1 species
GACGAACGCUGGCGGCGUGCUUAACACAUGCAAGUCGAACGGUUAAGCGCCUUCCUUUUUGGUGGGUGUGGAUGAGUGGCGAACGGGUGAGUAACACGUGAGUAACCUGCCCCCUUCUUCUGGAUAACCGCAUGAAAGUGUGGCUAAUACGGGAUAUUCUGGGUCUGUCGCAUGAUGGGUCUGGGAAAGAUAUUGUUUCGGUGGGGGAUGGGCUCGCGGCCUAUCAGCUUGUUGGUGGGGUGAUGGCCUACCAAGGCGGUGACGGGUAGCCGGCCUGAGAGGGUGGACGGUCACACUGGGACUGAGACACGGCCCAGACUCCUACGGGAGGCAGCAGUGGGGAAUAUUGCACAAUGGGCGCAAGCCUGAUGCAGCGACGCCGCGUGAGGGAUGGAGGCCUUCGGGUUGUGAACCUCUUUAGCCAGUGAAGCAGGCCUGCCUCGUUUGUGGGUGGGUUGACGGUAGCUGGAUAAGAAGCGCCGGCUAACUACGUG